CCAGCAGCCGCGGUAACUCCAGCUCCAAUAGCGUAUAUUAAAGUUGCUGCAGUUAAAAAGCUCGUAGUUGGAUCUCGGGUAUCACUGUUGCUCGUCAAUCCUCAGGCGGUUGGCUGCGUGUGCAUGGGCUUGACUCGUGUUGCCGUGGUUGGUCGUCCGAGUUGGCGGUGUGAUGGUGUCGCCUUUCAGCCAUGUCUGUGGUGAAAUACCCGCAGGUGUAGGCGAGUGUCAGGCGGUGCCUUGCGAAAGUAGGGCUCUGUCGGCUCGUCUGCAUGCCUUUGGAUGCCCUUUAAAAGGUGUCUGUUGGCGGAUGGCACGUUUACUCUGAACAAAUUUGAGUGCUCAAACCAGGCCGAUGUUGCCUGAAAAGUUUUGCAUGGAAUAAUGGAAUAGGACUUCGGUUCUAUUUCGUUGGUUUUCGGACCCGAAGUAAUGAUCAAAAGAGACAGGCGGGGG
rnacentral:rRNA from 1 species